CCCAAUGCUGUUCUUGUAAUAGUGAGUUAGUUCUCAUGAGAUCUGAUGAUUUUAUAAAGGGCUUUUCUCCUCUUCACUCAUUCUUCCCCUUCCUGCCGCCAAUGUGAAGAAAGACGUAAUUGCUUCCCCUUCCGCCAUGAUUGUAAGUUUCCUGAGGCUCCCCCCACCACGGAACCGACAUGAGUGUGAUAUCAUUUUUUGAAAAAGGAAUUCUACCAUAACAAAAACAAACAAGAAAAAGCAAAAACCUUUGUGAGUCACCAGCAGAAAGAAAACUUCUGAAGGAUCAACAAAGCCUAAAUGAUAGCACAUCUGUUUACAGCAUGGUUACUGAACAUAUUAGCCCACUGUUGAGACCUUUUGUUCAGGAAAAAAAGAUUACUGUCAAAAUAUUACUGCUCAUUGACAAUGCACCUAGUCACCCAACAGCUAUAUAAAGGUGUGCAAGGAGAAUGCACACCUUGUAAAUGUUGUUUUUAUGCCUGUGAACACAAUAUCCAUUCUGCAGCCCAUGG
rnacentral:lncRNA from 1 species